rnacentral:rRNA from 1 species
GACGAACGCUGGCGGCGUGCUUAACACAUGCAAGUCGAGCGGUAAGGCCCUUUCGGGGGUACACGAGCGGCGAACGGGUGAGUAACACGUGGGUGACCUGCCCUCAGCUCUGGGAUAAGCCUGGGAAACCGGGUCUAAUACUGGAUAUGACUCCAUGACACAUGUUGUGGGGUGGAAAGCCUUGUGCGGCUGAGGAUGGGCCCGCGGCCUAUCAGCUUGUUGGUGGGGUGANGGCCUACCAAGGCGACGACGGGUAGCCGGCCUGAGAGGGCGACCGGCCACACUGGGACUGAGACACGGCCCAGACUCCUACGGGAGGCAGCAGGUGGGGAAUCUUGCGCAAUGGGCGAAAGCCUGACGCAGCGACGCCGCGUGAGGGAUGACGGCCU